GCGGUGGAUGAUGUGGAUUAAUUCGAUGCAACGCGAAAAACCUUACCUACGCUUGACAUGUCAGGAACCUCGAAGAGAUUUGAGGGUGCCCGAAAGGGAACCUGAACACAGGUGCUGCAUGGCUGUCGUCAGCUCGUGUCGUGAGAUGUUGGGUUAAGUCCCGCAACGAGCGCAACCCUUAUCAUUAGUUGCUACGCAAGGGCACUCUAAUGAGACUGCCGGUGACAAACCGGAGGAAGGUGGGGAUGACGUCAAGUCCUCAUGGCCCUUAUGCGUAGGGCUUCACACGUCAUACAAUGGUCGGUACAGAGGGUUGCCAACCCGCGAGGGGGAGCCAAUCCCACAAAGCCGAUCGUAGUCCGGAUUGCAGUCUGCAACUCGACUGCAUGAAGUCGGAAUCGCUAGUAAUCGCGGAUCAGCAUGUCGCGGUGAAUACGUUCCCGGGUCUU
rnacentral:rRNA from 1 species